CCGAAAAAAAAAAAGAGGGGAAAGGGGAGUGAAUUUCUUCCAUCUUCAACCUCAAGCUUCAAGGACUCCAUAGCCAAUCUUUCUUCACAACUUCAUCAAAGAUUCGGGUUUCAAGAAGGAAUUGGGGAAAAUCCACCAAAAGCAUCUUUAAGACAAUAUUAAUUACUUUGGAGAUGGAGUUCAGCGUUAGUUCUUGCAGUCCGACGAACUCCCCUAGUUCGUCGGAAGGUGUAGGUCGUGGCAUGGACUACGACGUUUUUGUACAGCAGAUGAGUGGCGCCGACCCUUAUGCGCCUGGCUAUGCUCCUACAGCUCCCAAUAGCUCACCGGCAGUAAAUAGUGUUCUUCCUAUUCCUGAGGGUCCUGACGUACAGGCCACUUUUGGUUUUUACCCCAUCGAGGUGCUGGUAGGAAGUAACCCCCUAGAGUUUAUAGUUUAUUAUCCUUACCCUUGGGACCCGAGUCCUCCCGAGAGUUGGGAGGAGUGGUCUAUGGUCAUAGUCGCUUCCCGGUUCCUAGACCAUAUCACAUGGUACGAAGGGGAAUGGCAUCUUGUCUGGGGUGAGUUUACGGGUCCGACGUAUCUCCAGAUCGUGUAAGCAGGAUGCA